UGGGUCCAUAGCUCAGUGGCUAGAGCAAUUGACUGCAGAUCAAUAGGUCACCGGUUCGAACCCGGUUGGGCCCUA
rnacentral:tRNA from 1 species